rnacentral:tRNA from 1 species
UGGGGUGUAGCCAAGCGGAAAGGCACAAGAUUCUGAAUCUUGCAUGCGGUGGUUCGAUCCCACCCACCCCAGCCA